rnacentral:lncRNA from 1 species
GGCUGUUAUUAUCACACAAAUUACAUCUUUAUACAUGUUGUGCUGAACAACAAGUGGAUUUGUAGGUGUUUCUUUCUGAAGUUAUCUUCUAAAUCAGAUUUGCUGAGGUUUGUUUUGUGGCCUAACAUCUGAUCUACCCUGAAGACACUUCCAUGUGCUGAUGAGGAGAAUGCAUACUCUUCAGCUGUUGAGUGGGAUGUUCUGUGACUAUCUGGUAGGUCCACAUGAUCUAGAGUGCGCUUUGUAUUUGUUGUUUUUUUGGCUGAAUUUUUGUCUAGAUGAUCUGUCCUUUGCCGAAAGUGAGAUAUUGAAGUCCUCUAUUAUUAUUGCAUUGGAGUCUAUCUCUCCCUUUACAUCUAAUAGUAUUUGCUUUAUAUGUCUGGGUAUUCUGGUUUGAGAUUCAUAUAUAUUUGUAGUUGUAUAUCCCCUUACUGAAUUGACC